UACGUCCCUCCUUAGACAACCUGGUCACACUGAGCUCCCUCGGUGUGCCCAUAUUGAUACCGAUCUUAGUGCGGACGCCCGCUCAACAUAGAACACCUGAAAGCAGGACUCCUGCCCUCACACCGUUCACCGACUCCGGUCUCCAGGUAGCUGGAUCACAGGAGCACGCCACAACUCCCAACCGAUAAACAUGUGGAAAUUUUCACUAUUUAUACAUGAUCAUGUUAGGUACCGAUACAUAAACCAUAUUUGCAUAAACGACACGUAUGUAUUUAAAAAAAAAAAACAUUAUUUAAAACAUGCAAUUAAAGUGAGAAACUACGGCUAUCUAUUUAUAAUAUACAUGUACACGUGGCAGUGUGUCCAUAUGGUUACGAGUACGAAAAUUAUUUUACUAAAGAAAUUCAAUCGGUCCUUAUCAUUAGAGUGCUAUAUUACUGUGAAAGAAAGAAAGAAAAAAACAUUGAUAAAAUAAGAGAGAAAAAAAGACAAAAAUACAAUUUUACAAAUUUUGGUGAAAUUUAACGUCGAAGGGCGUCGCACAGCUAAAUGUGGUUAUUUGCAUCAUU
rnacentral:lncRNA from 1 species